CUCGGAAAGGUCACACAGUCUUCUUCACCACUUGGGCCUUCGCCCUUGAUACCCUGUGAUUACUUAAUGCUAAAAAGUUUAACAAUUCAACAGUCAGGUCUCAGGACUGUUCUUCAUUUUGGUGGCUAUCAGGAUAUCAACAACAAAUUGUAACUCAAUCCUCUGCAGAUUAAAGUUUCCUUCAAUUCUUCUGCCAGUUAUUUCCCAGAAAUUGUGGGACUAUUUUUAAAUCCUUGUGGUAACACAGUCCUGUCUGUGUAUUUUCUUACUGAACUGCGAAGAAUUCCUGGCUGUCAUGGCCUAGAGGUGUGCAGAAAAGGUGUGUAAAUCUAUUACAGUGAACCAUUCCAAAUUUUCCUUUAGUGUGGUUAAGAGUGCAUAUGGGUUAGCUUCCAUACUAUUUUAUUAAUUGCUAUUAAGUCUUGUACUAACACAUGAUCUUUACCAUUAGUAUUUUUUAUUUUUGACUGGCACAAUGGGAGGAUUAUAUUUAGAUUCACAUUUCAUCAAUAAUCUGUACCUUAAAAAUUUGUUAAUGACAGGAAUCCCACUGGCCCACACAGUGAGGAUUACUGCAUCCUUAAUAUUCUUUGGAAUCGGUUCAGAUUGGGAAGUCAGUUCCUGCAAAAUAAAAAUUUGAACCUUCCACAUAUUUAGGCUGAGAGAUUUUAAUGUGAAUGUCUCCUUCUCAAUACUUGAUUGCAUUCAAUUUUUCCAGUAAAUUUCCUCCUAAUAAUGGUUUUGGAGAGUUAGGCAAGUACAAAAAAUGAUGGGCUCUCCAUAAUUUUCCCAGUUUGAAUGUCAUUGGAUUGAAAAAGGGGCACAUUUCACAAAUCCCAGUUGCACUGACAGUUGUGAUGGAAUCAUCACUUAACGUCCCUUGCAGGGUGUUUAACACCAAAUAACCAGCUCCUGUGUCUAUCAAAAAUUCCAGUUUUCCAUUUCCCAGCAUGGCUGUUACCACAGGCUCUGCUGGGGAUAAAACCUCUGGUCCCUUCACAGAUACCCAGCCAUUGCCACAAGAGGGUUUGGAGAAGUCCUGGGUUUUAGGUGGGAACACUGCUGCUUCCUUUUUACAGUAUGGGCAUUGAUUUGUUCCCAGUCUUCCUAAUGAAGGUUGAGGAACUGAACCCCUUCCUCUGCCACGAGACCCCCCCCUGCUCCCUGGGGGCAGGAGUCCUUUGCUGAUUUCUUCUGUAACUGCUGUUAUUUUCUGUGGUCACCUUCCACUGGUUUUUUCCAUUUUCUGUGUACUGCCCAUACCAGAUUGUUUACCCAUAUCAAAACCAUCUGUUUCCUGGAUUUCCUGCAGUUUUAUUCAAAUAUCAUCAGGGACUAUACAAUGAAAAUAGGAGCCAGGCAACUUUUUCCUUCCCCCUGAACCUUCUCUUAUCUGUACUGCUUUCUUGUCUAUGCCUGUAGCCGGCCUUCUCAGCCCUCUAUGCAUUGGACUUUUCAAAUACAUUUAAACCUUCUUUCUCGUGACAAUCUAAAUGCUUACAGCAGACAUGAACCAUGCUACACGUAUAACAACAACGUGUAAUA